CCCUUAGAUGUUCUGGGCCGCACGCGCGCUACACUGACGAAUGCAACGAGCUUAUAACCUUGGCCGAAAGGUCUGGGUAAUCUCCAAAUUUCGUCGUGAUGGGGAUAGAUUAUUGUAAUUAUUAAUCUUCAACGAGGAAUGCCUAGUAAGCGCAAGUCAUCAGCUUGCGUUGAUUACGUCCCUGCCCUUUGUACACACCGCCCGUCGCUCCUACCGAUUGAAUGGUCCGGUGAAGCGUUCGGACCGUGGCCUUUGGACGGUUCGCCGUCUGUUGGCUGCGGGAAGUUCGUUAAACCUUAUCAUUUAGAGGAAGGAGAAGUCGUAACA
rnacentral:rRNA from 1 species